rnacentral:rRNA from 1 species
GACGAACGCUGGCGGCGUGCCUAAUACAUGCGAGUCGAGCGAGCGGAACUAACAGAUUUACCUCGGUAAUGACGUUAGGAAAGCGAGCGGCGGAUGGGUGAGUAACACGUGGGGAACCUGCCCCAUAGUCUGGGAUACCACUUGGAAACAGGUGCUAAUACCGCAUAAGAAAGCAGAUCGCAUGAUCAGCUUUUAAAAGGCGGCGUAAGCUGUCGCUAUGGGAUGGCCCCGCGGUGCAUUAGCUAGUUGGUAAGGUAAAGGCUUACCAAGGCGAUGAUGCAUAGCCGAGUUGAGAGACUGAUCGGCCACAUUGGGACUGAGACACGGCCCAAACUCCUACGGGAGGCAGCAGUAGGGAAUCUUCCACAAUGGACGCAAGUCUGAUGGAGCAACGCCGCGUGAGUGAAGAAGGUUUUCGGAUCGUAAAGCUCUGUUGUUGGUGAAGAAGGAUAGAGGUAGUAACUGGCCUUUAUUUGACGGUAAUCAACCAGAAAGUCACGGCUAACUACGUG